rnacentral:rRNA from 1 species
AUGCAAGUCGUACGCUUCUUUUUCCACCGGAGCUUGCUCCACCGGAAAAAGAAGAGUGGCGAACGGGUGAGUAACACGUGGGUAACCUGCCCAUCAGAAGGGGAUAACACUUGGAAACAGGUGCUAAUACCGUAUAACAAUCGAAACCGCAUGGUUUUGAUUUGAAAGGCGCUUUCGGGUGUCGCUGAUGGAUGGACCCGCGGUGCAUUAGCUAGUUGGUGAGGUAACGGCUCACCAAGGCCACGAUGCAUAGCCGACCUGAGAGGGUGAUCGGCCACAUUGGGACUGAGACACGGCCCAAACUCCUACGGGAGGCAGCAGUAGGGAAUCUUCGGCAAUGGACGAAAGUCUGACCGAGCAACGCCGCGUGAGUGAAGAAGGUUUUCGGAUCGUAAAACUCUGUUGUUAGAGAAGAACAAGGAUGAGAGUAACUGUUCAUCCCUUGACGGUAUCUAACCAGAAAGCCACGGCUAACUACGUGCCAGCAGCCGCGGUAAUACGUAGGUGGCAAGCGUUGUCCGGAUUUAUUGGGCGUAAAGCGAGCGCAGGCGGUUUCUUAAGUCUGAUGUGAAAGCCCCCGGCUCAACCGGGGAGGGUCAUUGGAAACUGGGAGACUUGAGUGCAGAAGAGGAGAGUGGAAUUCCAUGUGUAGCGGUGAAAUGCGUAGAUAUAUGGAGGAACACCAGUGGCGAAGGCGGCUCUCUGGUCUGUAACUGACGCUGAGGCUCGAAAGCGUGGGGAGCAAACAGGAUUAGAUACCCUGGUAGUCCACGCCGUAAACGAUGAGUGCUAAGUGUUGGAGGGUUUCCGCCCUUCAGUGCUGCAGCUAACGCAUUAAGCACUCCGCCUGGGGAGUACGACCGCAAGGUUGAAACUCAAAGGAAUUGACGGGGGCCCGCACAAGCGGUGGAGCAUGUGGUUUAAUUCGAAGCAACGCGAAGAACCUUACCAGGUCUUGACAUCCUUUGACCACUCUAGAGAUAGAGCUUCCCCUUCGGGGGCAAAGUGACAGGUGGUGCAUGGUUGUCGUCAGCUCGUGUCGUGAGAUGUUGGGUUAAGUCCCGCAACGAGCGCAACCCUUAUUGUUAGUUGCCAUCAUUCAGUUGGGCACUCUAGCAAGACUGCCGGUGACAAACCGGAGGAAGGUGGGGAUGACGUCAAAUCAUCAUGCCCCUUAUGACCUGGGCUACACACGUGCUACAAUGGGAAGUACAACGAGUCGCGAAGUCGCGAGGCUAAGCUAAUCUCUUAAAGCUUCUCUCAGUUCGGAUUGUAGGCUGCAACUCGCCUACAUGAAGCCGGAAUCGCUAGUAAUCGCGGAUCAGCACGCCGCGGUGAAUACGUUCCCGGGCCUUGUACACACCGCCCGUCACACCACGAGAGUUUGUAACACCCGAAGUCGGUGAGGUAACCUUUGGAGCCAGCCGCCUAAGGUGGGAUAGAUGAUUGGGGGAAGU